AUCUGUAGUAAGUGGCAAUAUCGUAACCAAUGAAGUUCAUCUGAGGUGCGAUUAUUGCUUAUUGAAAACUUUUAUUUAUUCUAUCUCUUAGAUGUAGAAUCUGGCAUUGAAUAUAUCUUAAUAAUCCUUAUAGUGGG